rnacentral:rRNA from 1 species
GAGUCUUCGGACUGCGGAAGAGUGGCGAACGGGUGAGGAACACGUAAGAAUCUGCCCCUCGGUCGGGGACAACUCUUGGAAACGAGAGCUAAUACCCGAUACGCUGUGGAGUGAAAGAAUUUCGCCGAGGGGUGAUCUUGCGUCUGAUUAGCUAGUUGGUGUGGUAACUGCACACCAAGGCGACGAUCAGUAGCUGGUCUGAGAGGAUGGACAGCCACAUUGGAACUGAGACACGGUCCAAACUCCUACGGGAGGCAGCAGUGGGGAAUUUUCCGCAAUGGACGAAAGUCUGACGGAGCGACGCUGCGUGAAGGAUGACGGCCCGCGGGUUGUAAACUUCUUUUCUCGAAGAAGAAACAAAUGACGGUAUUCGAGGAAUAAGCAUCGGCUAACUCCGUGCCAGCAGCCGCGGUAAGACGGAGGAUGCAAGUGUUAUUCGGAAUGAUUGGGCGUAAAGAGUCUGUAGGCUGUAUAGAAAGUCUUUUGUUAAAUUCCUCGGCUCAACCGAGAUCAAGCAAAGGAAACUUCUAUACUUGAGGGA